CCUACGGGUGGCUGCAGUGAGGAAUAUUGGUCAAUGGACGAGAGUCUGAACCAGCCAUGUAGCGUGAAGGAUGACUGCUCUAUGGGUUGUAAACUUCUUUUAUAUGGGAAUAAACUGUUCCACGCGUGGGAGUCUGUAAGUACCAUACGAAUAAGGAUCGGCUAACUCCGUGCCAGCAGCCGCGGUAAUACGGAGGAUUCGAGCGUUAUCCGGAUUUAUUGGGUUUAAAGGGAGCGUAGGUGGAUGGUUAAGUCAGUUGUGAAAGUUUGCGGCUCAACCGUGAAAUUGCAUUUGAAACUGGCAGUCUAGAGUGUAGUAGAGGUAGGCGGAAUUCAUGGUGUAGCGGUGAAAUGCUUAGAUAUCACGCAGAACUCCGAUUGCGAAGGCAGCUCACUGGGCUGCAACUGACACUGAGGCUCGAAAGUGUGGGUAUCAAACAGGAUUAGAUACCCCAGUAGUC
rnacentral:rRNA from 1 species